AACGAACGCUGGCGGCAUGCCUAACACAUGCAAGUCGAACGAGACCUUCGGGUCUAGUGGCGCACGGGUGCGUAACGCGUGGGGACCUGCCCUUAGGUUCGGAAUAACUCCCCGAAAGGGGUGCUAAUACCGGAUAAUGUCUUCGGACCAAAGAUUUAUCGCCUUUGGAUGGGCCCGCGUUGGAUUAGCUAGUUGGUAGGGUAAAAGCCUACUAAGGCGACGAUCCAUAGCUGGUCUGAGAGGAUGAUCAGCCACACUGGGACUGAGACACGGCCCAGACUCCUACGGGAGGCAGCAGUGGGGAAUAUUGGACAAUGGGCGAAAGCCUGAUCCAGCAAUGCCGCGUGAGUGAUGAAGGCCUUAGGGUUGUAAAGCUCUUUUACCCGGGAUGAUAAUGACAGUACCGGGAGAAUAAGCUCCGGCUAACUCCGUG
rnacentral:rRNA from 1 species